rnacentral:misc_RNA from 1 species
CCCUCCCCUAAAUCACUCCAAAAAAAACAAUCCCCAAUUCUACACAAGUGUUUCUACACUAACAAAGCAACAGCUCCUUAACGAAUUCCCAACUUUACACGAGCUCGUCUCUCGAGGUUAAAUGUUAUUACUUGGUAAGAUUCCGGACCUCGCCAAGUGUUUUGAAAACCCGCAACGCUCGCAAAGGUGCAUAGUGAGAAUAAUAAGUGAAGAGACAGACUUGUCCAAAACGCCCACCACGAAGGUGCAUAGUGAGAAGAGUAAGUCAAGAGAUAGACUUGUCCAAAAAGAAACGGAAGAGAAAGCUUGGGGAGACGCUCACGAAGGUGCAUAGUGAGAAGAGUAAGUCAAGAGAUAGACUUGUUCAAAAAGAAACAGAAGAGAAUGCUUGGGGUUACACUCACGAAGGUGCAUAGUGAGAAGAGUAAGUCAAGAGAUAGACUUGUUCAAAAAGAAACAGAAGAGAAUGCUUGGGGUUACACUCACGAAGGUGCAUAGUGAGAAGAGUAAGUCAAGAGACAGACUUGUUCAAAAAGAAACAAAAGAGAAUGCUUGGGGAGAUAGAAGUGUGAGAUAGUUCUCAAGCUAAGAAAGUUGUAAAAGCUAAGAACUAGCAAGUAAUCGUCCAGGAUUCCUCCACCAGGACUUGAAAUCGUCGAGGAAAAAAUCGGUUCCGAGGAAUCGUCGAUCCGGACUUGGAAUCGUCGAGAAAAGUUUACCGGGUCCGAGGAUUUGUCGAC